rfam:Picea glauca, whole genome shotgun sequence.
ACUCAAUGAAAUGUUUAUCCAUAUGAUUAUAAGAUAAAAUAAGUGAUGGGACCAAAUGAGCGGUCCCAUUUGUCCUUCUUCAUAGAAUACAUGUACACAAAUGUUCGUUGUUCCUUUCCCCGUAUCUUCCAAAAAUACUGAAAAAGCUGGUGUAGAGUGGAAGGGUCGUCGCUCAAUGGAUAAAAGUUACUCUAGGGAUAACAGGCUGAUCUUCCCCAAGAGUUCACAUCGGCGGGAAGGUUUGGCACCUCGAUGUCGACUAUUCGCCACCUAGGGCGGUAGUACGUUCCAAGGGUUGGGCGUGACUCUGUGCCUAGCAUUUCUCUAAAAUGUUUCCACAUUCUUUCUGUCUGGUGGGGUAGCUUUCUUUUUCCUAUAGGCCAUCUUUUCGUACUGAAUUUCCCCCUUUGCACUAAGGUGAAGCAGGGCAAUUUCUUAGAUGGGUGAGGUC